rfam:Acidobacteria bacterium RIFCSPLOWO2_02_FTLL_61_28 rifcsplowo2_02_scaffold_2954, whole genome shotgun sequence.
CCCAGCACUUACGUGCUGGGCUAGAUUCUGCCGCCCCCUUCGGGGGCU